rnacentral:misc_RNA from 1 species
ACAACUCGUUAUAUGAUAGAUCAACGGAUCGCAAUUAAGGCAGUUGCUAACGUUGCUGGAAUUAUACCAUUGAGCUUGUUGUGAGAGAGAUUCAAUAUCUCCAAGGUUCGCAAACUUGAAAAUUUUGCCGGUAUCUCUCCAGUGAGCAUGUUGUGACUAAGAUCGAGCUGGGACAAGCCAUGCAGUUCUGGAAUGGAACCAGUGAGGUGAUU